CCUGAAUAAAUGGACACGAUUAAAUUUUCUCUAACUUCCAUUUUCAAUUAUCUUCUUUGUCUCUCUCUGCUACUCCAAAUACAUAGAUUUUUCUAAUCACUUCGAGGAAAAUCAAAGGAAGAAGAACAAAAGGAAUAACAAAAGGGUAAGUUUCGAAAUUAUUACUUCAAAAUAAAUAAAUUACUUUUGUUUGAAUCUCAACGUAUAUUGAUUUUGAUUAAUUACCGGUAGUGAUUUUUUUAGGGGUUUUGAUUAUAUUUUUUGAGAUUUGGUGAAUCUUCUUAAGGUUUAAUCAAGGAGGAAAUUAGGUUUUGAGGAGUUUGAAUUUUUGAUUUUUGAUUUUGUUUGAUUGUUUGAGUGUAGAUAUUGUUAAAAGGUUGUAGCUUUUUGCUGAUUUGAUUGUCAAUUCGUUAAUUGGGGAUUGAAAUUAAGUAUGAUUUUUUGAAAUUGAGGAUGGAUUUUAACUGGAUUUUUUUGGCUUGAUUAUGGUGGUGGUGGUGGUGAUUGUUGCCGGUUGUGGUGGUGGUGGAGAUGAGUGGAAGUUUUUUUCGUGAAGAUUGAAGAUUUCUUGUUGGGGUUGUUAUGCUCAAUCAAGUUUUGGUCUUUCUAGGUUUUUUUGAUGAUUCAAUUUGAUUGAGAGUCAAUUUUCUUAAUGUGUUGAAUGUUUUUCGUAACUUCAAUUUUGACGUUGUAAAUAUGCAACCAUGGUGUUGGUGGUGCUUAUACUGGUGCUUUAGGUACGAGUUGGAGAAGAUUUGCAGGUCAACGAUCGGUCCAGAAUAUGCUUUCUUGAUGAAUUCAUUUCUUUAGCUGGAGAGACGAGAAGAGAAUCGUGGUAGGGAAGGUGUGACAGAUGUGUAAUGAAUUCAUAUCUUUGAUUUUCUUUUUUAGUAACGAAGAGUUAACGCUGUUGAAAAAUUAAUAUUUAUCAAUAAUUUAUAUAUUUAA